rnacentral:sRNA from 1 species
CUUAUCUUUAUGGAGGGCAAAUAAGGAUUUAAAAAAUCUUUUAAAAGGGAGGAAUGGAAAGACCACAAGUGGAAAACAGACUUUAGAGAUAUCUCUCCAAGUCACAGAAGGAAAGCAGCCCUCCCUCCUUACUGAAAGUCUGGAGAAUUGAGAGUGGAAGUGAAGGGAAGAGAAUUGAGUGUGUAAGUAGAUGAGAGGUUAUGUGUCUUGGAGCCAGGAGACUCUGGUUCCAAGAAAAGACGUCUGCACUCCAUCCCCCUGAUUGUUUAUUUUUUAAUUGUCAGACAAAGGACUGGUGGACAUAUGAAUUCUGUUAUGGACGCCACAUCCAGCAAUACCACAUGGAAGAUUCAGAGAUCAAAGGUGAAGUCCUCUAUCUCGGCUACUACCAAUCAGCCUUCGACUGGGAUGAUGAAACAGCCAAGGUGGCAAGAGUGUGGGAUUCGGGAAGAAAGGGUUCUGGCCACCGGCUGAGAGCCCUGACAAGAAGGGGAGGGUCAAGAUUAGCUGAUCUGUUUCUUGGGGCUUGGUGGCCAUUAGGACAAAGUUUCCUGGGGCCUGGGGGCACAGGCCAUUCUUUUGUCUCUUUGGGGACGCAGUGCCAUCCUUCCUCUUUGCUAUCUUUCUCAUGUCCCCCAUUCCUGCCUCAUGUCUUCUCCAGGCCUCCAAGCAGCAUCGUCUUAAACGCUACCACAGCCAGACCUAUGGCAAUGGGUCCAAGUGCGACCUUAAUGGGAGGCCCCGGGAGGCCGAGGUUCGGUUCCUCUGUGACGAGGGUGCAGGUAUCUCUGGGGACUACAUCGAUCGUGUGGACGAGCCCUUGUCCUGCUCUUAUGUGCUGACCAUUCGCACUCCUCGGCUCUGCCCCCACCCUCUCCUCCGGCCCCCACCCAGUGCUGCACCGCAGGCCAUCCUCUGUCACCCUUCCCUACAGCCUGAGGAGUACAUGGCCUACGUUCAGAGGCAAGCCGGUGAGUAAUUAGAGAAGGAGGAGAAGACGGGGGAGAUACGGGGGCAGGGGGUGGCAAAAGAUCAAGUAUUGAAUAGCUGGAGGAAUGUGUUCCUGGCCUGCUUGCAUGCUGUUUCUCAGUAGACUCAAAGCAGUAUGGAGAGAAAAUCAUAGAGGAGCUGCACGAUCUAGGCCCCCAAGUGUGGAGUGAGACCAAGUCUGGGGUGGCACCCCAAAAGAUGGCAGGUGCGAGCCCGACCAAGGAUGACAGUAAGGACUCAGAUUUCUGGAAGAUGCUUAAUGAGCCAGAGGACCAGGCCCCAGGAGGGGAGGAGGUGCCGGCUGAGGAGCAGGACCCAAGCCCUGAGGCAGCAGAUUCAGCUUCUGGUGCUCCCAAUGAUUUUCAGAACAACGUGCAGGUCAAAGUCAUUCGAAGCCCUGCGGAUUUGAUUCGAUUCAUAGAGGAGCUGAAAGGUGGAACAAAAAAGGGGAAGCCAAAUAUAGGCCAAGAGCAGCCUGUGGAUGAUGCUGCAGAAGUCCCUCAGAGGGAACCAGAGAAGGAAAGGGGUGAUCCAGAACGGCAGAGAGAGAUGGAAGAAGAGGAGGAUGAGGAUGAGGAUGAGGAUGAAGAUGAGGAUGAACGGCAGUUACUGGGAGAAUUUGAGAAGGAACUGGAAGGGAUCCUGCUUCCGUCAGACCGAGACCGGCUCCGUUCGGAGGUGAAGGCUGGCAUGGAGCGGGAACUGGAGAACAUCAUCCAGGAGACAGAGAAAGAGCUGGACCCAGAUGGGCUGAAGAAGGAGUCAGAGCGGGAUCGGGCAAUGCUGGCUCUCACAUCCACUCUCAACAAACUCAUCAAAAGACUGGAGGAAAAACAGAGUCCAGAGCUGGUGAAAAAGCACAAGAAAAAGAGGGUUGUCCCCAAAAAGCCUCCCCCAUCACCCCAACCUACAGGUGAGAGCAGUCAGACAAGAAAGAGUAGCCCAGUCUGUUGUUUUCAUCCCUCAGCUGGUCCUGUUCCCAGAGGGGACCCUGUUCCUUCCCUUCUGAGGGUGCUCAUUCUCUCCCCACUUUCUGGAACACUGUCCUCACUUGCACCUGCUUCCCAACACCGUCAUCCCUUUGCGUGCUUACCUCCUAUUCAUCCCUCUGGGAAGCAGCUUUUAGAGCAUAUCUGCUGGUUUUCUGGUUUGCUCCUGUACACCCAGUGCCUAGCACUCUGCCUGGCACACAAUGGAUGAUCAGUAGCUAGUAAUUGAAUGCUUGCGAGUCUAUAUGCUGAAAACCACUUUAGGACUUUGCACCAAGAGAGGCCCCAGCUGUCAGGGCAUGAAUAGGAGAGCCCAGCUGCACAUGAGCCAAUAGCCUGGAUAGACUUUAAAUUAUUUCUUCUUCUUGUAUCCCCUUGUGUCCAUUUCAUAGUGUCCUAUGGGUGUGGACAUCAGAUAUUCUAAAUGGAAUGUUCCAGUUUCAAACCUUCCAUUCCCACUCUCUCUAUAAACAUUGAAAUGUCUUUAAAGUCCCAACAUAUGGAGGAGGAGACCACACUUUUCCAACCUGCUUCUUCAAACAGAACUUUGUUGGUGCAGGUGGCCUGAUUUUGGCUUUAGAAAACAUUUGUUUUCCUAUAGGUGAUGGGCAGAAUUAUUGGGUAGGGCGGGAAGAUGGAAGGCUGCAAUUGGUGGAGGGAGCUCUACAGGCUGAACUGGGAGGGGCGGGGCACACAUUUUUUUGAGCCCUGGCUCAUAUACAUGUUGAGAUGGAAGAGCUGCCAAAGCCAACUGAUGUUUUAGGGGGAGAUGACCCCCACACCCCUAACCCUGGAGUCACACCUCUGCUUUGUGUUUCCCUGUGUGUCUCCCCCUCUAAGAGGAGGAUCCUGAGCACAGAGUCCGGGUCCGGGUCACCAAGCUCCGUCUCGGAGGCCCUAAUCAGGAUCUGACUGUCCUCGAGAUGAAACGGGAAAACCCACAGCUGAAACAAAUCGAGGGGCUGGUGAAGGAGCUGCUGGAGAGGGAGGGACUCACAGCUGCAGGGAAAAUUGAGAUCAAAAUUGUCCGCCCAUGGGCUGAAGGGACUGAAGAGGGUGCACGUUGGCUGACUGAUGAGGACACGAGAAACCUCAAGGAGAUCUUCUUCAAUAUCUUGGUGCCGGGAGCUGAAGAGGCCCAGAAGGAACGCCAGCGGCAGAAAGAGCUGGAGAGCAAUUACCGCCGGGUGUGGGGCUCUCCAGGUGGGGAGGGCACAGGGGACCUGGACGAAUUUGACUUCUGAGACCAACACUACACUUGACCCUUCACGGAAUCCAGACUCUUCCUGGACUGGCUUGCCUCCUCCCCACCUCCCCACCCUGGAACCCCUGAGGGCCAAACAGCAGAGUGGAGCUGAGCUGUGGACCUCUCGGGCAACUCUGUGGGUGUGGGGGCCCUGGGUGAAUGCUGCUGCCCCUGCUGGCAGCCACCUUGAGACCUCACCGGGCCUGUGAUAUUUGCUCUCCUGAACUCUCACUCAAUCCUCUUCCUCUCCUCUGUGGCUUUUCCUGUUAUUGUCCCCUAAUGAUAGGAUAUUCCCUGCUGCCUACCUGGAGAUUCAGUAGGAUCUUUUGAGUGGAGGUGGGUAGAGAGAGCAAGGAGGGCAGGACACUUAGCAGGCACUGAGCAAGCAGGCCCCCACCUGCCCUUAGUGAUGUUUGGAGUCGCUUUACCCUCUUCUAUUGAAUUGCCUUGGGAUUUCCUUCUCCCUUUCCCUGCCCACCCUGUCCCCUACAAUUUGUGCUUCUGAGUUGAGGAGCCUUCACCUCUGUUGCUGAGGAAAUGGUAGAAUGCUGCCCAUCACCUCCAGCACAAUCCCAGUGAAAAAGGUGUGAAGCACCCACCAUGUUCUUGAACAAUCAGGUUUCUAAAUAAACAACUGGACCAUCAA